GACGAACGCUGGCGGCGUGCCUAAUACAUGCAAGUCGAGCGGACGAAUCGAAAGCUUGCUUUUGAUUCGUUAGCGGCGGACGGGUGAGUAACACGUGGGCAACCUGCCCUGUAGACGGGGAUAACACCGAGAAAUCGGUGCUAAUACCGGAUAACACGAAAUGUCGCAUGACGUUUCGUUGAAAGACGGCGCAAGCUGUCGCUACAGGAUGGGCCCGCGGCGCAUUAGCUAGUUGGUGAGGUAACGGCUCACCAAGGCGACGAUGCGUAGCCGACCUAAGAGGGUGAUCGGCCACACUGGGACUGAGACACGGCCCAGACUCCUACGGGAGGCAGCAGUAGGGAAUCUUCCGCAAUGGACGAAAGUCUGACGGAGCAACGCCGCGUGAGCGAAGAAGGCCUUCGGGUCGUAAAGCUCUGUUGUUAGGGAAGAACAAGUAACGCAGUAACUGGCGUUACCGUGACGGUACCUAACGAGAAAGCCACGGCUAACUACGUG
rnacentral:rRNA from 1 species